AAGAAAAGAGAGGAUGUCUGUUCCCUCUCCUCUUAAACAGCCUCAUAACUCUGGACCAAUAACAAGUGAUCUUGGAACUUUUAAGCAGUACAGAAAAUACACUGAUGGACAGACAUAUGUUUCUUGCUCCAUGGGAGAUAACUGUUUCAAUGUAGGGGGGAAAAUUCUUAUUGUGGCAAACAUUUUACAGGAUUGCCAAGUUGUCAAAGCACUGUGUCAGGUCUUUGAAAACUGUAAUGCCUUUUUCAGCUAUCCAUUGGACUCAACAUGCCUUGGAAUUUACUUUGUUUCAAAUCUGUCUAAACAAAUGCAUCUUGUAUUACUUGAUGAAUUAAAACAGAAAAUUGUGCUUUUGCCACUGAAGUCUGGAUAUGUGGCAUUGCCACUGCUGUACUAGUUGGCUUCUUUUUGCUUUCUCCCCAGCAUGCUACCAUUUGCAGUUGUUGAUUUUCUGGAUGGUGGAGGUGUAUCCAUAAUUCCUUGCAAGUGGUUUACAGGACCAGCGGAAGAUUCUUGUUUCUGGCCACCAGGGAGAGUCAAUAUCAAUAAGGCUGUAAAGGAUGGAGUUACUCCAGAUGCAAACUGGUCACAGUACAGAGUUCGCAUCUUGGGGAAAGCUGAAAAAUACGAAAAUGCCAGGGUGAAACUGCGGAGGUCUGAAGCAACCUCUGAUCUGCAGACUGAGUCGGAUUCUGGAAGCAGAUUGGGAAAAGGGAAGCGGAAAAGGAGGCCAGUGAUCCAGUCAAGCUCAGAUGAGGAUUGGGACAACGCUGCGGAACAGCCAGAGAACUCAUCACCAUCAGCAAUGGAGAAUAGACAUUCAAGUGAAACUCCCCACCAGAACAUCACUCAUCCAUUUGUUCGGCUACCACCACCCUCAACUCCUUCACAAGCAGUUCCAAGACAACUUGUACAAGCCACCAAUACCAGCAUGUUUGUACAUGUUCUCUCUGGUUUGCAGCAUACUUGAAGACGUAGGAGGUCAAACAACCUGAUCAGCCCCACCUUCAAAACAACUCCAGUAGUAUUUCAAAUCUGAUGUUAUUUGUGAAAAAAUGCACUUUUUUUCCAAGACCAAUGGAUCAGUAAAUGAGUGAGAAGCUGUGUUUCAGUGCAUUUUGUUUUCUUUUAAACUGUAUAACAUUGAUUUGCUAUUGUUUUGUGUAUACUAGGGACCUUUUUUGUCAACUUGUUCUCUAAACAAAAAAAUUAUUUGUAUAGUAUAUUAAUCAGUAUUGUAAAAUAAAAA
ensembl:lncRNA